AUUUAUAUAUUUUAUAAAUGAUAUUUUUAGUUAAUUAUCUAUAUGUAUGUAUCUUAACAGAUUGUAGAAUGCAUUCUCCGACAUUUUCUAAUGCCUCUGAGGACGAAAUUUCUGGGCCUACCAUGAUUGCUCAUUCAGGUGAAGACCAAGACACCCAGAUAGAUUUCACACAGACUCAGAGUGAAAGUCAGAGUCAGAAUACAUCAGGGAAAAAA